GGUGAACGCUGGCGGCGUGCCUAAGACAUGCAAGUCGAGCGGGGCAGGUUUAUACCUGUUCAGCGGCGGACGGGUGAGUAACGCGUGGGUGACCUACCCGGAAGACGCGGACAACCUGGGGAAACCCAGACUAAUCCGCCAUGUGGUCCUGUCCUGUCGGGCAGGACUAAAGGGUGGAUAGCCCGUUUCCGGAUGGGCCCGCGUCCCAUCAGCUAGUUGGUGGGGUAAAGGCCCACCAAGGCGACGACGGGUAGACGGUCUGAGAGGAUGGCCGGCCACAGAGGCACUGAGACACGGACCCCACUCCUAGGGGAGGCAGCAGUUAGGCAUCUGCCGCAAUGGACGGAAGUCUGACAGAGCGACGCCGCUUGGAGGAGGAAGCCAUUCGGGGUGUAAGCUCCUGAACUGGGGACGAAAGCCCUGUGUAGGGGGAUGACGGUACCCAGGUAAUAGCGCCGGCCAACUCCGUG
rnacentral:rRNA from 1 species